rnacentral:rRNA from 1 species
GACGUAGGGCGCGAGCGUUAAUCGGAAUUACUGGGCGUAAAGCGCGCGUAGGCGGCCCUGUAAGUCCGUUGUGAAAGUCAAAGGCUCAACCUUUGAAAGCCGAUGGAUACUGCAGGGCUAGAGUCCGGAAGAGGCGAGUGGAAUUCCUGGUGUAGCGGUGGAAUGCGCAGAUAUCAGGAGGAACACCAAUAGCGAAGGCAGCUCGCUGGGACGGUACUGACGCUAAGGCGCGAAAGCGUGGGGAGCGAACAGG